CAGUAGCCACGGUAAUACGUAGGUCCCGAGCGUUGUCCGGAUUUAUUGGGCGUAAAGGGAGCGUAGGCGGCGUGGUAAGUCAGAUGUGAAAUCCCGGGGCUCAACCCCGGAACUGCAUCCGAUACUGCCAUGCUAGAGGAUUGGAGAGGUAGCUGGAAUUCUUGGUGUAGCAGUGAAAUGCGUGGAGAUCAAGAGGAACACUCGUGGCGAAAGCGAGCUACUGGACAAUAACUGACGCUGAGGCUCGAAGGCCAGGGUAGCGAAAGGGAUUAGAUACCCGUGUAGUCCCUGUCUCUUAUAC
rnacentral:rRNA from 1 species